rnacentral:rRNA from 1 species
AUGGCGGCCAAGGUGCUCCAGCUCCGCAGCGCCGACGGCAAGGUGCUCGUCGCUCCGGCGUGGGACUAUCGCCCGGCCGCCGCCCAAGCCCGCCCGCUGGAGAUGCGGGUGCCCUCGCGCCCCCUCGAGAGGGUGCUCCAGUACUGGACCAAGCACAGCCUGGCCAAGGCCACCGGUGAGUCCCGGGAGUCCCUCGCCCGCUGGGACGCCGACUUCCAGCGCCGUCUCGAGGAAGAUGGCCUCGCCAAGGAGGCCGCCGCAGCCGCCCAAGAACUCCGCCGCUACGGCGUCGAUCAUGGAGGGCGUCCCCGUCGCCACGCCGGCACGGGCGCAUCUGGCGUCGCUGCUCCAGCCACCGCCGCCCGUGCUGAUCCCGUCCGUGCCUGGUGUGGACUCGUUCACCACCUCAAGGGUGUCGACCACGGAGAACCUAGCCCGGCGCCGACGGCGCCCAUCGCUUUCCAUGCCUCCCAUAUUGCCGUCGCCGCGCGCCCUGGGCCUGCCACCACCUUGCCGGCCGCUGCUGGUGCUGAACCCGUUGGUGUCCGGUGCGCCGUCCGUGCCCGUGGACGCCAGAUGGCUGAAGACGAGGAGUCCGCUUGCCACCACCGCAAGCGCCCGACUUCCAAGGCUCCACUCUGCCUGUCUGCCAAUGCUGUUGCGCCCGUGAAGAAGGUCUCUGGUCCCGUCGCUUUCAAGGCUUGCUCUUUCGUCGGCUCUACACCAUUGCCUGUCACUGCUGUUGCACCCGGUGUGAAGAAGAUGACUCCAGCUUCAACUCUGCGCGCUAGAAGGGGGAUGAGGGAGCUCAGCUGCAAGGUUCCCAAGCAAAACAAAUCGCCAUUGCCUGUCACUGCUGUUGCAGCACCAAGGAAGCAACCAAUUCCUUGCUUGAGUCCAGUGGUAUUACGCCCUUGCUAG